UGUCCAGCAGGGCCUUGGCGGCGCCCUAGCAGCUGAGGUUCAGCCGCUGCGCGCCCAGGUUCAUCUCAUUGGUGGACGCCGCGGGCCUGCGAGUUCGGAGCGGGUAUAUGAGACAAGGACCCGGGGAGUUGGCCUCUUUGGUUCAUUCUUUGCACUGUUUAUGUCCUCCUCAUGCUGUUCUUCUGCCUGGACAACUUUAUCACCCACCCUCCACUCAGCUAACUGCCACUCAGCCUUCACAUCCGAACUUACUAAUCUCUCACUUUGGGAGACUGUGCCUCCUAAACAAGGUUACAAUUUCCUGCCAUGUGCCAUCAGAGCCUGCUGAAUUCUGUCUAUCACAUAGGAUAUUCAUCACGAUUGAAGAUUAUUCACUUGUCUUCCACCUCCCCCAGAAGACUGUGAGUUCCCUGAAAUCAGGGUCCUUGUCUGCCCUGCUCAUCCCUGAAGCCCCAAAUCCCCACUGCACUGAAGUGUGAAUUCCAUUCUGUUACUGCUAGAAACAAAUGGUUAGUGGUGGCAGGAAGUAGGGAUGCUAGCAUCUACAGUAAUUCAACACCUUUUCCUGAUUCAUCUGGGAUAAGCUAGGGAUGGAUGAAAGGUUACAGCUAGAGGAUUGACAUUUUGUUGGGAUGAAAAACAAUGGAUUUCUAGGAGAGAGACUGGCUAUUUGAUUAUAAUACAUA